rnacentral:lncRNA from 1 species
UGAACUCAACCACUACACCACAGGGCUGGCUCCCAUUUGUUGUUCUUUUAAUCCUUACAACAACUUCAAAGGGUGGAUAACUUAUCCACAUCUUACAGGGGAGGGAAUUGGCUCAGAGAGGUGAAUUAAGGAAGCACAGCCAGUCUGAGGCAGAGCUGGGCUGUCUGUUCAUAAUAACAGAUGGGAACUUUUAACCACUAGCUGCCCUUCUGCUUCUGACAAGUCUAGAUGUGGUCUGCAGACCCCUUCACUCUCACGGCCAAUGUCCUUGAAACCCUCGGCUUCUGAUGGAAGGGAAGCGGCCUCUCUCAGCUCUCCUGUGUGAAGCAGUGAGAGCCACUGGCCUGGCUCGGUAAAGCUGUAGGUGCAGCUCCCGGGGGUGCAAACUGACGCCCCACCUGCUGCAAAUGGGCACAGAUGGAUCUGUUUGGCCAGUGCCAUAUUAUCAGGAAUAGCUGUAGUUGUUUUUAAUUAACUCCAGCGCCCCUCCUGGGGCAUCUUCUCUCCAAGUCACUCUGAUUUCAGCACUCCUAACAGCAUUAUCCCAGUCACUUCACACCCGUGGGUUAGUGGUCUGACUCUGAAAGGCAUCUGCCUGGAGCGCCUGCCCAGCCCCCUCCUCUACCCUGUAGUGUCAGCAGAUCCGAGUGGAAAACAGGAAGAAUACAUUUUCUCAUGGGACCAGUGGUGUAUUUGCCUGAGAAACUAUAAACUUCAGUCUCCUUAUGGAUCAAUGAGGCUUUUAGAGGAAAAAUAAUCUCCAUAUGAAGGGCCAUCUGGAGCACCGGGUGUAUAAUAAAUCACUGUGAACAGCAAUUAUACUUACUGGGAGCCCCGUUAUUUUCUUGCAAGUAGAAACAGGAGGAUACGCUAUUGGCUUCUGAAAACAAUGUUGUCACGAACUUCCUUCUGGGAGAGCUGAAGGUCAGGAAGACCCCAGGCUGUCAGUCUGAGAAGAAAGGAGCUGCUAUAGUGGGGGAAUGGAAGACUAUCUGGAUUUUCCUCUUUUCCUUCAGCUGUAGUCCCUACAAAGAUCUAACAUGUUUUUAUCCUACGUAGCUUUUCUUAUAUCCUUUUAGGAAGUAUUACCCUUUGCAAUUUGCACUGAUCUGUUGAUCUUGACCAAGAUGCAGGUUUUCAAGGCAAAGUCACUUAGUAGCUGAAUGACCUUAAGUGAGCCAUCUCCCUCCCUCAGCCACUCCUUCCCCAAGUGGAGAGAGUG